rnacentral:rRNA from 1 species
UACGUAGGGGGCAAGCGUUGUCCGGAAUCAUUGGGCGUAAAGCGCGCGUAGGCGGCCCGGUAAGUCCGCUCUGAAAGUCCAGGGCUCAACCCUGGAAAGCGGGUGGAUACUGCCGGGCUAGAAUCCGGAAGAGGCGAGUGGAAUUCCUGGUGUAGCGGUGGAAUGCGCAGAUAUCAGGAAGAACACCGGUGGCGAAGGCGGCUCUCUGGGCCUUGCCUGACGCUGAGGAGCGAAAGCGGGGGUAGCGAACAGG